AAAGCAAAAUGUCUGUCUGUCGGUCAGUCCUCUAGUUGCUCUAUUUGCUCGUUCCAAAGUGUAGAUUCCUAUGGAGAAGAACGAGCAAGAAACUCCAUAGGUUACUCUUUUCCAAUCAGGUUCACAAUACAAUACUUGGUUACAUUGUUUCGAUUGCUUCAACUAUGUGAGAACAAUGUAAAACUAAUAUUCAGUCAAAGUGAUAGUAAUUCCGGAGAUUAACACGUUCAAAUAAACAAAGAAAGCUUUAUAAUAUACGUAUAGAUACCAUACAUACAUACAUAACCUCACGCCUGUCUCCCAUGGGGGUAGGCAGAGACAAUGGAACGCCAAUUGCUACGAAUCUUACACACUUCUUUCGCUUCAUCAACAGUCAUCAGUCUUUUCAUACAUGCUCGUCGGUUAAAGGUACUUUUAAUUUGGCCCUUCUUUAAUAAGUAAUUAAUAAGACAGACAAACAGACAUGUUUAAAUAUACCAGUAUUAUCUUCUAAAACAAUAUUUUACUAAUAAGUUGCAGUUUGCCAAGUUCCUACUUAAAGAAAAUUAUUUAAUUUUAUAAAUAAAUUUGAUACCACGGCCUCACAGAAAACCGACGUGAAACAACGCUUGCGUUGUGUGAGUGAGGUUACCGGAGGCCCAAUUACCCCCUUCCCAAUCUUCCCAAUCUUUCCAUCCCCGAUACCCCCUUAAAUUCCUAACCCCCAAAAGGCCGGCAACGCACUUGUAAUGCCUCUGGUGUUUCAAGUGUCCAUGGGCGGCGGCGAUUGCUUACCAUCAGGUGAUCCGUCUGCUCGUUUACCGACUUAUACCAUAAAAAAACAAAGGCCAGUGGUUUUUAUACUGUGAUUUAUUUUAUUUUAAGAGUCUCAUUUUGUAUUAUUAUUAUUAGAUUUUAUUUUAGUUGAUCUCCUAUUGCUGUGAGUCUAAAUUAAAAUAUACUAUAUUCCUUCGA